rnacentral:rRNA from 1 species
GUCUAUAGUCAUGCCACCCUGAACAAGCCCGUUCCCGUCUGAUCUCAGAAGCUAAGCAGGGUCUGGCCUGGUUAGUACUUGGAUGGGAGACCACCUAGGAAAAGCAGGUGCUGUAGGCG